rnacentral:lncRNA from 1 species
AUAGUAGUAAACCUUUUUCUGACCUUAUUUAAACCUAUCAACAGUCUCAAGUUGGAACUAGGUCUCUUUCCAUUUACAGAUAAAAAUAUUAAAGGACAGAAUAACUAAGCAACUUGCCCAAAGUCACAGGUCCCUGCUCUUAUCUGCUAUAUUUUCUUUCUCUAUUUUUCUUUUUCGUGUAAUACAGAAAGCCCAUGAUCAUCCUGAUGCCUCCUCUGUGUGGAUAUCGCAGGAAUGGCAACUUACGACCUUAUGAAGUAGUUUAUUCUAAUUUAGGGUAGCUCAAAUUACUAGAACAAAUAUUUAAUGGGCCUUUAAUCUUCUACCCCUAAAAUUUUUUCCAGUUGGUUCUAGUUUUAUCUUAUGGAGCUAAAUGUAUGGAAAAUGAUUCAAAGAACCUUCCUUCAAGUAGUAGAAAUCAUCUUCUAGAUUUUAUCUUUCCCAAUCUAAAAAUACAUUGUUGUUUCAACAAUUCCAUGAAUAACAUGGAUUGUGGAUUUUUAUCAUCCUGGUUACUUUUCUCUUGGACUGCCAAACAUUUAAGUGCGGAACAAGAACUGUCUGCAAUAAAACAUAAUGAAUGUUUAUGCUAAAUUUUUAAGCAUCGACAGCUUCUAUUCAACUGAUGUAUCUCAGAACACAAAAGAGUACUUGCUGUUUCGGGAAAUUUGGUUCCUGUCUCCUUCUCUGAUCUGAAUUGUUAUGUUGAUAAAUUUGCCAUAUUCUGCUGAAGAACAAAUUCUGGCAUCUUCACUGAGGAAUCAGUGUCUGCCUCUAAUACUUCUUUCUGUGAAAUCCUGACCUGAAGUCUCCUCUAUCAUCCCAAAGAUUUAAAAAAGAUUAAAGGUGAGGCAUGGGUUUCUCUGGCCUGCUUUGGUAAAUUUAUGUGCUCACAUAACUCAUUAAUUGUUUAGGUUUAAUUCAAGACAAAUACCUGCACGUUUAUGUUUGACACUAGUAUUUAUCAAAUCCCAAAGCUGAUCUGAACCCUAAACAAACCAUAUUCUUGGCAGCUCCUCCAAAUAACACACAUAGCAAAUAUAUUGACAUCAGUUGUACUUUAAAAUGUCAACUCUGCUUUUCCUUUUCUCAUGGUGCUAAUAAAAGAUUUUAUUUAAAAACGCUAAACUUGGGAAUGAAUGCCAAAUUCCUCUCUUACCAUUCAGUAGGUCUUUUCCUGUUUUAGGUGUAGGCUAUGGAUUAUUUCAUUUGACCUUCUUGCUGUUUACCUGGUUAUAAUAUGUGAAAAUACAAAAUUUAAAGUCUCCAUUAUGCUAUGGGAACGUAAAACUUUUUUAUUUUUUAAGAGAAUCUGUAAAUAUGUACAUUUCAGAGCUACCACAACUAGAAUUAUCUUUACUGUUAAUUAAUUAAUCAAAAAUAUGGUGGACAUUAUUAACAAUAAGCCCUGAAGCAACAUUUUUGGAAAUGACCUAAAAGAAUUGCUGGACUGUCAUUCAAAGUUCAAUAAAAAUGCCUUAUAGGAACUUUUCUCUUGGACUAACACGUCAUGAUGGAGUUGAACAAGCAGUAGAUUAACAUCUGAACACCAAUUUUAAAUUACAGUGUUGUGUGAUAUUAAUAGAGUGAUUGUAAUUAAGUAACUAGGCCUCCUUUGAUCUUGUUUGCCUUAUCUGUUAAAUAAUCUACUCUUACCAUCACCAUCACUAAUGAUAAAAACAUUUAAAAUAUUGCUACUUGUGCUAGGCAGAAUCAUGGCCUCAAAGAUGUCUAUGACUUAGUCUCUGGAACCUGUAACUAUGUUAGCUCACAUGGUACAACGGACUUUUCAGAGGUGAUUAAAUUAAAAAUCUUGACAUGGGGAGAUUAUCCAGGAUUGCCUGGGAGAAUGGGCAUUGUAAUCACUUGGGUUCUUAAAAGUGAAAGAGGGAGGGAGGGAGGGAGGGAGGGAGGGAGGGAGGGGAUAUGAGAAUAGAAGCAGAGUCAGAGUGAUGCAGCUUAAGAAACACCUGACUGUAUAUUGCUGCCUGGCUUCGAAGGUGGAAGGGACCAUGAGCUAAGGAAUGGAGGUGGCGUCUAGAAGCUGGAAGAGGCAAGCACACAGAUUCUCCCCUAGAGCCUCUGGAAGGAAGGCACACCUGCCAACACCUUGAUUUUAGUCCAGUGAGACCUGUUUUGGACUUCGACUUCUGACAAUGUAAUACAAUCAAUUUGUGUUGUUUUAAGCCACUAAGUUUGUGGUAAUUUGUUGUUGCAGUAAUAAGAAACGAAUACACUACUUCAUUAGAUUACUGUAAUGAUUCCAAAAUUUAAUAGAUUAUGAGAAAGCACUUUGUAAACUGAAGUACGAUAGAAAUGUUAAUUAUUAUUGAUAAAAUUAAAGUAGGUUCUAACAACUCUAAUUAGAAGGAUGAGGUCUGUUUCAAAUAAAAUCCAGAUUAGAGAUGGGCUAGUGAGUCUUUGCCAUUUUCAUAAACUUUCAUAGGGAUCCUCCCCAAAAUGAAUUAACAGAACUAUUAAAAGCAACCCCUCUGGGACCAAUCUGAAAUUAAUUUUUCAGCUUUAUCGCUGAAACAUUCUCUAAACCAUAAAUUAAUAGGAAGCAAUAAUUCUCCCCUGAGCAGAGCAAAUGCUUAAGUUGCAGGUCCACUGGUAUAGCACACAAGCGGCCUGAGGAUAAAUCCAUCUUUGGUGGUGGAAAAUUCUUAAGUCAAAGAAAAAUAUAUUAUAUGUCAUAGCCCACUGUAGUGUAAUUCUAAUGGUAAGUUAUUUUUCAGUUUUGUAGCCUGCAUACAUAUAUAGAGGAAACAUCUUCCAGCUCAAGAAAGAACUCUGUUCUCGCCUUCUCCCUUCUAAUCUCAGUCACUAGUUGUUACCAUUAAUUAACCCUCAUGAGAAAAACCUGAUGACAUCGUUUAUUGGCAACAGACUAUAAUGAUAUUCCAAUUGAAACAAAUUAAUAGGGGUGAUCCCUUUUUAGCCAGCAGUUUCCUAUUUUUUGUACCUGAAAACUAUUUUGUAUUCAGGAACAAUAAUAUUUAAAAUUUAAGUCAACUGAUAUGUUUGUUUUAAGCUAUUUACUUAUUUAGCAUUGUGUAGAAAAUUAAUUGGCUAAAAAUCUUCACUGUUAUUCUAGAUAUCUUGUUAUCAAAAGGAACACUUCUGUAUUCUCAAAAUUAUUAGUUUGUCCUUGCAGUGAUUUUCAAAAGCAUAUCGAUGGUUGAAAUUAAAACUAAUUUGUCUAUUACAGACAUGACCUUGGUUUCAAACAGGUUCUGAUAAAUCUAGCCAGUGCAGCACAAACGGGAAAAAAAAAAGACAUUGGAAAGAACAUGGCUUAGCUACUGAACAUUGUAGGGACACUGAGUCUAUAAUUUCACUCUGGACCUUGAAUGAAAACAUGUUUCAUUUAAAUUUAUUGCUACACAAAAUUAUUUUAAUCUGGCAAUUACGUAACAAAAAACUCCAGGGGAAAUUUGAGCCACUAGACUUCUGGUAGUUGUAGUCGUUUACAAAAAGAGAGGACUGGAAUGAUACUAGGGUGAACGUGCAGUUCUGCCUCCAGGACUUAAAGGAUGCCAGGGGAAUAUGGAUUUUAUUUAUAAGGAAUUCUCCUUGGGCCCAAACCUAAAACAGUCGGGUGUGGCAUGCAUUUUAGCAGCACGAUGCGAACAGAAAAUGAACAGAAUUUUGGUUUGCUUUGGUGUAUUUAGUUUUUUGGACUUUGUCCAAUAAAACUAAAUGAUUUUUUUUUUUUUUGCAUUUGUAACUCUUGUCCUAAACUGCAACAGCUUUUGCAAAAAGUAGAUUGGCACCUACAGUUGACUUGCCAGUGGAAGUUCUUGGACACCUUUCUACAAGAAUGCAGUCCCCUCUGACCAUUGGAUUCAUCUUACUCUACCCUAGGGGGCCUAGGAAACUUCAGGCUUUCCAGUGCCUAGACGGAGCAUCCCUGCUUCCUAGUAUCAGCUUCCUUCACUGUGUAGCUGCCUUAGAACCAAGCUAAGCACAGGAAUGCCUCUGCGGAGGCAGCCUUGCGUGGCACCAGGGAAUGUUGCUUUGUUUAUUCAUACUCCAUCUCCUAAAUUUUUUUUUUUCCCCAGACAGGGUCUCAGCGCAAUCAAGGCUCGCUACAGCCUCAACCUCCUGGGCUCAAGCAAUCCUCCCGCCUCAAUCACCCAAGUAGCUGGAACUACAGGCAUGCGCCACCACAUCCGGCUUUUUUUUUUUUUUUUUUUUUUUUUGGUAGAGAUGGGGUCUUUCUGUGUUGCCUAGGCUGAUCGCAAGCUCCUGGGCUCAAGUGAUCCUCCCAUCUUGGCUCCCAGACUGCUAGGAUUACAGGCACGAGACACUGUGCCCAGGCCCAAAUUCUGUACUUCUCCCAGCUAUUGUGAAGCCUCCGACAUGGUCUGUUCUGAUUCUGUCACCUUUCUCUUCCUUCUCAAGCCCCAGUAGGGGCCUUGCCUCUCCAGCGUACCCUGCUUUUGGAGAUCUUGCCUCCAUGUUUCCAUUAUUGAUGGAGGGACCGUGGCAGGACUUUGCUUUCCAAUGUCACUAUUAUGUCAGCAGGCUAGCCCUGAACCCCACACAGUAAGACCCCUUAUGUGAGGGUUUUACACCUACUUGAUCUUAUUCCUCUUUCCAGGUGAGCACCACACACUGACCUAGCUAGGCUCAGGGUAAGGUAGCUCUUGCUCAUUUUGGCCAGGUAUUUAAUUACGUGACAUUCACAGUGUGCCUUUCUACUUAUCUUUUUAUCCUUUUCAGUUCAAGAAACGUGGCUAUACCAACUUGCCACAGUGCCCAUCCCACUUUGUAGAAGACUUUGAUAUCUGACUCACAGAGAAACUCCUGCCAGGAGUUUAUAUUGUGUGCAGCUGAUUCAGGCAGUAACUUCCACUCAGCGAGGGGGUCCAUUUACAAAAAAUUACUUCUCUUCCUUUUAUGCCCAGUAUGGUUCUUAAAAUCAACCAGACCUAUCUUUCACCAGCACGACUUGGUUCUUUUAAACCACAGUAUUUCUGCUUCUUCUAGUUGGAAAACUUUAAUAUGAGAUUGAAGAUAUGAUUUGCUUUCUGGAUUGUUGUAUGCUACUAAAACCGAAGAAAGAGAAGGAAAAAUGGAUGAAUCGACGGACCAUAUCACCCUGGCACCUAUAUCAGCUCAAAAACUGAAGGAAAUACCCCUUUCCUGCCCUCUCUUUGACUAAUGCUAUAGACUCUGAGUCAGUAGUUCCUGGUGGGACCUGAGAGUCCACAUUCCUGAUGAGCUCCAGGUGUUCCCAUGCUGCUGCCCCUCUGACCACACUUAGAAUAAGAAGGCUUGAAAUGAAAUCUGAGAAAUCAGCCUCUUGAUUCCAAUUUUAAACAUGCAAUUGAUUCUUGUAAUUUUUCAUUCUUGUCAAAAUGCAUACCAGUAAGUUUGUAAUCAGUAUUGGCAUGCUUAAAAGAAUUUAAGACUUGUUAUAUUUGUCAUUUUAAUUUAUUUAAACUUUAAAGAUUUGUUCAGAACUUGGAAAGAUUUUGCUUAAGCUCAUAAAUUUACCCACUCAGGCAUAUGAGAUAGGGUACUUUGAUUUAUAAAUGAAGUUUAAAAUUAAGGGAAUUUAAUUAAGUUUUCAAAAUGAGAUUGGUUGUUUUAAGGGGAAUUUACUUUGUGUAACUUGAGUUCAUCAAACGCUAAUCCAAGUUCCCUGCAAAACCUGUUCUGUUUUAUAUAACAUUUACUCGUUUUAGAAAUAGAUGAGAUUUGCAAAUUGAACCUAAAGACUUAAGGCAAAUUAUGUAUCUUUUUAUACUUUAAUAAAGAAAAAUAAAAUAAAUUUGAAACACAAAUAACUCUAACUGGCCCUU